CAUAGGUUGAGGAAGCGGUGACCGUGGUGGUGGAGGAGGAGGAUGAGGUAGCCAACACUGUUUAUAUAUAGAUUUUUUUUUUUAAUUGGGGUAGCCCCCAAAAUAUUAGGACAUAUAAAAAAAGACAACUCUGUUCCGCAGAGUAGCUGUUGACAUUAUAGUUGCGCAGGAACUUUGUUGACUCUAGAGAACCUCGGGCAAAUCGCACAUCCCCGUACUGGCGACUUUGCAUGCAGAUGUCAUGCAUAUCAACUUUCAAUGCAAGAUUCUACGCCUACCAUGGUGACCACGGGUAACGGGGAAUCAGGGUUCCAUUCCGUACAGGGACCCUGAGAAAUGGCUACCACAUGCAAGGAAGGCAG